UGCCUGUCUCUCACCACAUUAGGAUUAAAAAGCGGAUCCCUUACAUGAUCGGAGCUAAAAAUCUGCCGUGGCGUAUAGUAAACAUCUAAAGUGUAGUACCAUUCAACUGUUCAUAUUGUGGAUCGUGCGUCGAGGGUCUAGUCAUGGGUGCAUCUGGAUCCAGAUAGGAAUGUGAAUUAGCAGACAUAAACCAAUAGCUGCAAAACAGGUGUAUAGAAGUAUAGAGUUGGA